rnacentral:lncRNA from 1 species
CCAACCAACCAACCAACCAACCGGCCGGCGCUCGAAGUUGCGCUCGAAUCCUAAGCUGCGCUCGAGCAGCGCGCGUUUCCCUGCUCCUGCGCGUUCUUUCUCUCUCUCUCUCUCUUUCUCUGGUUCUGUUGUGUGUGUGUUUCUCUCUCUCUCUCUCUCUCUCACUCCUUUCCUCCGAGUCGAUCUAGCUCUCCUCCUGCGCUUCUCGACGCUCUCAGCUGCUGCCUGCCACAGCCGCAAGAGUCAGUCUCUCGACCGUCCGUCGGUCCCUCAGUGCGCGUGCGAUUCCGUUUCGCCUCCGAGAGAUCACCUCCGCUUUGUACACACAUCCGCUUUUAUAAGUACACGGAUCCAAGACGGCCUAUUAGCCGGCAUUUAAACUGACGCACGUGCAUCCUUCCUUCUCUUAGAAAUUGAAAACACAUUUCGUUUUCAAUUUCUUUCAUUUCGAAAGUGUUCGUCGCGACCAAUUCGAUAACGUUUGAUUUUUCACGAACUGUGUUUGAUUUAUCUUCGAACGCGACCAGUGGAGACACUUCCAUCGGACCCGACGACAAUCGUCCUCCUUUGCUGCUCCUGGAUAUUUUUUAAUCAGGACCACCCAAUUUUAUUCAACUCUCAAGAGAUACUACCAUUUGGAUGCCCCUGCUUUAAUUGGAACAUCGAGGAUCCUUUUCUUCUCUCGUUGUUCUUCGUAAAUUCAUCGAUCGACUAAGUAGGAAAGUUAUGGUCGAGGAGGAGCAGGAGGAGGAGGAAGAGAGAAAAAGUAAAAGGAAUAGAGGGAGAAAGGAAAAGAGAAGAAGAGUGGGGCGGAUUUAAUAAGGCUGUACUCUAAGCAGGCGUUCAUUUUUAAUUGACGUGCUGACAUUGGAACAAACACGUAUUCCGCGUGCUCAGGUACCAUCAGCACGUAUCUACGUGUAUAUACAUGGACACAUACAUAUAAAUAAUACAUUUAGAUGGACAGAGAGAGAGAGAGA